ensembl:lncRNA
CUCAGUGUAUCUCUAAAGUGUAUCUUUAACAAAACUAGAUAUUAUGCAAGCUAAAGCACUAAGAUUGGUUCUAGGAGCAGUUAAGACGACACCAAUUGCAGCAAUACAGGUGGAGUCCUCAGAAAUGCCUCUACAUUUAAGAAGAGAAAAACUAGCCAUGGCAUAUUGGAUUAAUCUUCAGGGCCAAAGAGAGGAUCAUCCUGUAAGAGAAGUACUUAAUGAAAGUUGGGAAACAGUAAAUAAACCAGGUAAAGGAUUUGCAUGGAAAAUUAAGAAAUUGAUCAAUGAAACUGGAAUAGAAUCAAAUAAAUUUGCAUCGGUAAUAGUAACUCCUCCAAUAGCACCUUGGUUAUUAGAACAACCGGAAGUUGACUUAAAUGUACAUAAAUAAAUUAAGGGAAUGGGGGAGGGGUUUAAUUUAAAAGCAUAUGUCAAAGAAUAUAUAAAAAGUAUGCAUUAUUCAUUUCUCCAAAUUUACACAGAUGGAUCAAAGAACAUAGAAACUGGAAGGACAGGUGCUGCAUUUUGCAUUCCAGAAUUUCAGGUUAGGAAGGCUGGAAGAAUUACGGAUGGUACUUCUGUAUAUACAGCAGAGAUGGUAGCUAUCCUUAUGGCAUUAGAGUGGGUAUAUGAAGUAAGACCGGAUAAAGUAAUAAUAUGCUCUGACUCAAUGGCAGCUCUUAUGAGUUUACAAUCAUGGCAAUCAAAUAGAAAAGACAUUUUAAUAGAAAUCAUGAUUACACUAUAUAGUAUUAAACAGAUAGGGAUAAUUACUCGGUUUAUAUGGGUACCUGCACAUGUGGGAAUUCAAGGUAAUGAAGAGGUAGAUAAAAUGGCUAAAGAAUCCUUAAAUAUGGAUGAUCCAAGUAUAAAUAUUGCACUCAGCAGAAUAGAAGGGAAACAGUUAAUAUUAAAUGCAUGCAAUAUUGUAUGGCAGAUAUACUGGGACUCAUGUCAAACAGGUAGGCAUUAUCACAAAGUACAAAGGAGUAUAAAGAGAAGAAAAAUCAUUCAUAACAUAAGUAGAAGGGAACAAGUCAUUUUAACACAUAUACGAACAGGACAUUCAAAUCUUAACCAAACACUAUACAUUAUAGGGAAACAUAAUACUGGUCUAUGUAAUGUUUGUUUAACAGAGGAAUCAGUGGAACACGUUAUGAUGGUAUGUACAGCAUAUGAAAGAGAAAGGGAUCGACUUAAAGAUGAAUUACAAUCCUUAGGAGUUAAAGAAUUUUCAUUAAGUAGUAUUCUGAAUGAUGGUCCAAAUGCAGGAAAACAAAUAAGUGCAAUCAUGAGAUUUCUUAAGAAUUGUGGAAUAAUUAACAGAAUUUAAGAUUUAGGUGAGAAAAGGUACAUUCUCUUCACACUCCA